CUGUCUCCUGUGUUGCAGCAUGAGAAACAGUAAUCACUACGGCUCUCUCAGAUACAACAGAUGGAUUCAGUUCCCUAAGCUAAACACAGCAGGUUUUCCGGUCAUCUCUCCGAGUACCAGCAGCAUGACGGAGCCUCGGAGCGGCCUGAGCAGCCCAGAUGUGGAGGUGAAGAGUCUGCAGCUGGACGACCGCCCAGGUCAGUGUGCGUCGGCUCGUUGUGCCCGUCGGACAGACUAAAAACGCUACUGCUUCAAAAUACCUUCAGUUUCUAAUGUCUGCUUUUAGUUCUUUCUCAGCAGUCAAAAACAUUUCUGUUGUCUCUUCACUCGCUCUGCAGCAGAGUAAAGCAAACAAACCUGAGCUGUCUGUAGCUGCUAUGAUCCCGGUGAUGAAGAGCCACUUCCAGCUCAAACAUCUGGACACUCCUGGAGCAGCUGACAACGACAGUGAUUCUGUUACAACGAUUCAAAACUAAAAUUACAAACCAACUUGGCCUGAAUCUUCUGAUACAGAGCUUUACUAUUUACUCUGAAGGCCUCAUAUCAUAGGAGAUUUUUACUCUUGGUAAACAAUUUGUCAAUUUGUUCUAUUUUUUUUUUUAAACAACAAAAAAAAAAUACAUGACGCAGGUAAGGAAAGGCCUAUGAGGUCGUCGAGAGGGGCCAACAUUGAAGACAUUAAUACUGUUGUCAGGACAAAUGAGAAGGUGCGGUGGUACAAGUCUGAGCCAUGACAAUGAGCUGACCGAGCAGCUGGUAUCAGAGGGACAUUUACCAGACUGGUGUGUUGGGUAAUUCUUUGUCCUUUGUUGUGAUGAAAUGAAUGUUAUUUCAUCACGAUGUGAAGAAGAGAAAUCAAUGCUGUGUGUGGCGGCUCCAUGUCCCAGGAAUUUAGUAUAAAUUCAACUGAUCAUUUUUUUGAACCGACACAUACUUCUUACGUAAAGACACAAUGUAGCGUCUCCCAGUGCAGUGGUGCUAUUUACAGAAGGCUUUAAUCGGAUAGGAAUGUGCUAAGGAUGAUUAUUGUCUUUGGCUGCUUUUUAGCUGAAUAAUCAGGCUAAGAAUGGACUGGAUAUCAGAGCUGCUUAUUUUGUGCUACUUAAUACUACUUACUAUUAAUGUGACUCCGUACGAACUCAACCGUUUGUCACUUCCUGCUGAAUAUUUGCUUUGAGGACGGCAGAUCGGUUCGUUUACUCCUGAGAGAUGCUCGUAGCAUUGUUUGUUUGUGUGACGUGGAUUUGAGAAGCGUCUCUGAGCUAAGUCUGAAAGACGAACGAUGCUACUUUGAUGGAUGUUCGUUGCUUCACGUAUCCCAGCAAAAUCCUGUUCCAACAAGACUAGAGCGACGUAUUUCUGAUUGGUUUGUUGGCUUUGCAGGAGGCGACAUUAGCUUACCAUGUCAUCUUGCCCUUGUGUCUUCUGGUCAGUGGUCUUCUGUACUUUUUCAGCGCUUUGGCCUGUAUGUACCAUUCAGUCGCCAUUUUUCCUUCCAGUUGCUGCCAAAGUUGUACGAUGAUGACAAACAGCAACACGAGCUGAGUGUUGUCCUCUCGUGUGGCAAAGUAAGUUGACAAUAGCUGCGAUGUUUGGAGGUGGCACUCUGUGCAAUGCAAACGCAACCAGCGUCAGGACACAACAGGUUAAGGCCGACUGCAACACCGCCCUAGCAACUUAGGUUUUAAUGUAUCAAAGUGUCAGUUCAAUUCACGGUAGAGAGGAAUGUUUGUGCCCUUCGAACCAAAAAGAGAGACAUGCAUUUUCAGGGAUCCGGUUCUCAUCCGAUCUCAUCCGAACUGAAAGUUUCUCUUGUGGAACAAAUGACCAUCACAGCUCCAGGAGGAGGAAGAAUCACAUUAGAAAAGCGUCCGCUGAACAAUUGGGAUCCUUAUCGUCUGCUGUCCUGCAGGCUGGAAGUAUAAUGAGAGUCACUGUCCUCUCCUCUCAAACCGAAACCAGCUGUGGCCGGUUUUCACUGGUGCUGCCGACAAAUUUAAAUUUAAACAGAGAAGCAAACAGUCCAGAUGUAGCGGUGGGACAUAAAUGUCUGACUGCUUCGAGUUUGGAUUUUGGAUGCAAAUCACAGGCACAAACGUCAGAGAUAACAGCUUUGAGAGAACCACCCAGAGAUAAUAAAACAUGGAGUUACAGUAAAAGAUGAAGGGAAAAGGGGAAGGGAAAGAUGAAUAGAUAAAGAAAAGGAAACACGAUAACUGGGAAUUUUAGGAAAUCAAAGGAUAAAACUGUGAUUAAAAACAGCAUUGUUACGUUAGCCCAAACCAACCGUACGUUGUGACCCCUUUCAAGGAUCGUCUCUCCAAGUGAUGGUUGGAUGGAUCAGUUUGUCUGUGUUAGAUCUUUAAUGAAUGGUUUCAACCCAAACACGUUGGGCAGGUGGCAAUGGCUCAGAGACUUUAAGAGGAAAAACAGCUCCCUGUCUCUCUGUUUCUUUGUGGUGGGAAUUUUGGCAGCUCAGCCUGCUGAUUUCCAUCCCUGUGGAUAAUCACCUUCCCAGUGGGAAUGAAUGGACACAUCACUUCCUCCAUUCACAUAAAGGGUGGAAGGACAAGCAGAAAAAGAAAAAAAAAACUUUGGUUCUCCUGAAGGUGUUUGUAAAUCUGAUCAUGAGUCAAAGUUUCAAAUGAUCUGAUAUUUACUCUGCUAAAAAUGAAAAUGUUCUUUUUUUGAUUUCUCCAAAUGCCACCCAUCUGAACAGACAGAUGCACUGAUGGUCCUAAAUGUUCCAGCAGACAAAUCCAUCAGGUUUGUUUCCUAUGGGUUUGGUGAAGUUUCGACAUCUGCCACUGAAAACAAGACCUGCCUCCGUCAUCAAGAGAAUAAUCUAGACUCGCUGCAGCUUCAAUUAAUCUACAAUAAUAAUAAAACAAAACUGAUGGCACCAUGGUCCUUUUUUUUUUUUUUUUUUACUUUUCCCCUCAGUGAGCUCUCAGAAUGCCCCCCACCACGGCCUGUAAAGCUUGGAGCCUCUUGCUGUCCUCACCUCCUCAACAGGCUCCUUGUUCGGCCUUCAAGCUCUCAGUGUCUUUGUGGACUGAAGCCUUUUUGUCCUCAAACUUAGGAAAAGAAGGGAUGGGAGAAAGAAAGGAGAGGAAGAGGAGAACAGGGACAAACAAAUACAGAGCACAGUGGUCCUCGCAUGAUGACACAAACCUCUGCAGGAUUUCCUUUUCUCCGUUCUGUCGGUUUUAAAGGACCUAACGAAGCAACGAGGAGCGACAUGACGUAGUUCUGUUGUCGGAUGUUGUUUUGUUAGCUCCAGUUGACACGAUUCUGAGCUGGGAUCAGAUUCAGGAUCAGAGUAUCCGACCUUUAAUAGAUUAAUCCCUCGCUGUGACUCUGAAAUAAUCCUCUUGCAUCAUGAAAAAAAACAAAAAAC